AGUGAACGCUGGCGGUAGGCCUAACACAUGCAAGUCGAACGGCAGCACAGUAAGAGCUUGCUCUUACGGGUGGCGAGUGGCGGACGGGUGAGGAAUACAUCGGAAUCUACUUUUUCGUGGGGGAUAACGUAGGGAAACUUACGCUAAUACCGCAUACGACCUACGGGUGAAAGCAGGGGAUCUUCGGACCUUGCGCGAUUGAAUGAGCCGAUGUCGGAUUAGCUAGUUGGCGGGGUAAAGGCCCACCAAGGCGGCGAUCCGUAGCUGGUGUGAGAGGAUGGUCAGCCACACGGGAACUGAGACACGGUCCAGACUACUACGGGAGGCAGCAGUGGGGAAUAUUGGACAAUGGGCGCAAGCCUGAUCCAGCCAUACCGCGUGGGUGAAGAAGGCCUUCGGGUUGUAAAGCCCUUUUGUUGGGAAAGAAAAGCAGCAGGUUAAUACCCCGCUGUUCUGACGGUACCCAAAGAAUAAUCACCGGCUAACUUCGUG
rnacentral:rRNA from 1 species